rnacentral:lncRNA from 1 species
AGCCAAGGACUUGGGACCAUCUUCGCAGGCCAUGGAGUCAAGGAGAGAAGAGCAAAUGAUUCACCUGAAGAAGUGGAGAGGUUAAACAAGGCACAAGUUCUACCUUCCCAGAAAGCACCACAUACCCAGACUAGUGUGACAUGGCUGCCUCAGGGGGCAAGAGGGUGUCAUGGAAGGAGGUAUGAAUGAAUUCAGAUUUCUCAAUGACUCACUGUAUUUUUGGAGAGUCACUUUAGGAGACCACUCACUUUCUCUGUCAAAAGAACAAUAGACAAUUGAAGAUUCACUCCAUAGUUGUUUCCUGAACAGGGUUUCCAAGACCUCAGCCAUGGUCCCCCAUACAACACAGAGAGAGGAUUUUUGUGGCUGGCAGAAUUGUGAGUUCUGAAGGACAAUGCCUACUUGUGUGUAACACAGAAACAGGUGCUCCUUUUGCGUUGUGUGUGGAGUCAGACAGAGAAGAACCAGGUAACCUGCUGGCAACACUGCUGGUUUUGUAAUAGAGUUUGGAGCUUCCUACACUUGGUGGGGGGAGAAGUCGUGCCUACACCGAGUGUGAAAUAAGUGAGAAGAUGAAAGCAGAUGAGUCAGAAGCAAUAGCAAUAUGCAGAGUGCAGAGACAUGAUGGGAGGGGUCAGGGUCCUCAACAGCCGAUACUUGAUCCUUGAUCCUCUACGAUUCUUUUCCUUCACCCCUGGCAUCCAUGUUGGCACCAAGAUCCGUAAUCCCUCGUCCCUCACCAUCUUCCCAACCUGCCCCUGUCUAUUUCCACUGCUCUGUCACUUCCUAAUUGUUACUGUAUCCGUUUUGUAGCCACUCCCACCGCGGGAUAAUGCAACCCCUCCCCCAUACUUUCACAGCCCCGCCCACUACCCCUAGGCCCAGCUAAACAGCAUUUGCCACUGCCCAGCCCUACCACAUCAAUCUUCUGUGUAUGCUUUCUAGAUCCACUGCCCUCAUCCACAGAACAAACAUCCUACAGGCAGCCUAGAUCACCCGACACCUGCAGUGUAUCACGCUUUCCGCAGGAAAGGCAGCUGGGGCUGUCGGGAGAUCCUGCACAGUCUUAGCCUGUGCUUUUCUGAUUUUAGUCCUGCUUACAGAUGCAUCAGGAUCCCUUUGCUUUUUGUGUCUCUGUCCCAAGCAACUGAGUAUUGAGGAUCUAGGACUGAGUCUCCUCUAUACCCUGGGUUUUCAGGAAUGGUUCACUAACACUGGAUAAAUUCUCUUACAUGAGAAAGAGAAAUUCUGGUUAGAGAGGUGACUUCCAAUGUGUAAGAUAAAGCGCUCUUCGAUGCUCAUAAAACCUCAGUCCACAGAAUCUGGGGAGCCUGAGAACUUGGGUCUGUAGCAUGAGAGUUGAGAAUAUGGGCGUUGGUGCGACAGGGUGAAGUUCUGUGAUUGUGUUCUGUUGGCUGCGACAGCAACUGCCAAGUCAUAGCGGUGCUGAGCUGUAAAUGCAGCAGUCGUCCACCAUUCCUUUCCCUGUUUCUGUCUGAAUAUCUCUUCUUUUUUUUUCUCCUGAAAUAUCAAAAAUAUGAGCCAUGAAAGAAAAUUGUGAAAAUGUGAAAACGCCAGUGGGCAUAUCUACACAAAUCCCAAACAUUUGGACACAUGGGAAAAUGGAAGAAAAUGUCGUUCGUUUUCUGCUGACUCAGGAGCUCAUCAAGACCAGGCUACCCUUACCUCUGACAGAUGGAAUUGUGUGUUUAUCUUACCUCUGUGUAUACUCCUGUUUUCCUCUUUUCAAUGAACACCUGAAAUGAUAUCUAUAAACGUCAAUACAAUAUUCCAAGCACAAGCAUACGAAUUAUGUUACUAUUGAGAAAUUUCCUUCAAAAAGACAAUUUGAGGUUCAUUGUAUUGUUUAGAAAAUAUGAAAAAUGUCACAGGAUUUUCCCAGUUCAAUUACAUUGAUGUAGAGGAGGCCUGUGAUUGGGCAGGGAAAAGGGGAUGGAGCAAAGUGGGAGGGACAGUGUCUCAGGAGAAGGGAGGAGGACUAUGGAGGUGGACAGGAACCAGCAUGGCUUUAAGCAGUCACAGGUUGUUAUGAUAUCAUAAGGUUAGAAUAAUUGGGAUAAAGAUUUUAUCCUUAUCAAUUGGCUCUGAAAUUACUGUAUUGACAUCUUAUAAAUUGAGGAUUUAUUGAUACAUAAAACUGAUUGGUUAACUAUAAGCUUUAAGAGUUUUGAUUUUACCGGGUUACUGUGUAUUGUGAUAUCUAACCGUGAGGUUGGCAGUUCAAUUUGGUUACUGGAAUGUGGGACAGAGUGGGCGGGACCCCACUGGGGCAGUGUUGUGGCCUGCUGGGGCUGGCACUAGAGUGGGAAUGUGCUGGAUCAUUUUUAAUAUUUACCACAACUGAAAAAAAUCAAAAUAAGCUAAAGUGUGAACCAUAUAAGAUUAACUAAACAUAUUUUGCUUUUUUAUUAUACAUAUUUAGAUUAAUAUUCAUUGACAGGAGAGUAAUUGACAUUAUGCCACUAGAAUAAAAAAUAUAAAAAUGUAUGUAAGAGAUUGUAUAAUUUAAUUUUUCUUUUUAUAAAAUUAGAAAUGUUUCAUUUGGGGGCUAGAAAGAUGGUUCAAAGGUUAAGAGCAACCUUAGGUGUUCUUAUAGAUUGGUUAUAGAUAGAACCUAGAUUGGUUCCAGCAUCCAAGUCAGGUAGUUUAGAACCACCUGGAACUCUAGCUCCAGCAAGAUCCAAUGCCUCUCAUCUCCUUGGGCACCUGUACACAUGUAACACACAACUACACACACACACACACACACACAAAAUUGAAAUU